AUUGAACGCUGGCGGCAGGCCUAACACAUGCAAGUCGAGCGGCAGCGGGAAAGUAGCUUGCUACUUUUGCCGGCGAGCGGCGGACGGGUGAGUAAUGCCUGGGGAUCUGCCCAAUCGAGGGGGAUAACUACUGGAAACGGUAGCUAAUACCGCAUACGCCCUACGGGGGAAAGCAGGGGACCUUCGGGCCUUGCGCGAUUGGAUGAACCCAGGUGGGAUUAGCUAGUUGGUGAGGUAAUGGCUCACCAAGGCGACGAUCCCUAGCUGGUCUGAGAGGAUGAUCAGCCACACUGGAACUGAGACACGGUCCAGACUCCUACGGGAGGCAGCAGUGGGGAAUAUUGCACAAUGGGGGAAACCCUGAUGCAGCCAUGCCGCGUGUGUGAAGAAGGCCUUCGGGUUGUAAAGCACUUUCAGCGAGGAGGAAAGGUGGUUGGCUAAUACCCAAUCGCUGUGACGUACUCGCAG
rnacentral:rRNA from 1 species